rnacentral:rRNA from 1 species
GUAGGGAAUCUUCGGCAAUGGACGAAAGUCUGACCGAGCAACGCCGCGUGAGUGAAGAAGGUUUUCGGAUCGUAAAACUCUGUUGGUAGAGAAGAACGUUGGUGAGAGUGGAAAGCUCAUCAAGUGACGGUAACUACCCAGAAAGGGACGGCUAACUACGUGCCAGCAGCCGCGGUAAUACGUAGGUCCCGAGCGUUGUCCGGAGUUAUUGGGCGUAAAGCGAGCGCAGGUGGUUUAUUAAGUCUGGUGUAAAAGGCAGUGGCUCAACCAUUGUAUGCAGUGGAAACUGGUAGACUUGAGUGCAGGAGAGGAGAGUGGAAUUCCAUGUGUAGCGGUGAAAUGCGUAGAUAUAUGGAGGAACACCGGUGGCGAAAGCGGCUCGCUGGCCUGUAACUGACACUGAGGCUCGAAAGCGUGGGGAGCAAACAGGAUUAGAAACCCCGGUAGUCC